rnacentral:rRNA from 1 species
GGCGGCACGCCUAAUACAUGCAAGUCGAACGGGGUAGCAAUACCUAGUGGCAGACGGGUGAGUAACAUGUGGGUAUCUUCCCUUUGGUGAGGAAUAACACGAGGAAACUUGUGCUAAUACCUCAUAAGUCUUUACGGAGAAAGCUUUAUGCGCCAAUGGAUGAGCCCGCACUUGAUUAGUUAGUUGGUAGGGUAAUGGCCUACCAAGACUUUGAUCAAUAGCUGAUUUGAGAGGAUGAUCAGCCACAUUGGGACUGAGACACGGCCCAAACUCCUACGGGAGGCAGCAGUAGGGAAUCUUGCACAAUGGAGGAAACUCUGAUGCAGCGAUGCCGCGUGAGUGAAGAAGGCCUUUGGGUUGUAAAGCUCUUUCGUCGGGGAAGAAAAUGACUGUACCCGAAUAAGAAGGUCCGGCUAACUUCGUGCCAGCAGCCGCGGUAAUACGAAGGGACCUAGCGUAGUUCGGAAUUACUGGGCUUAAAGAGUUCGUAGGUGGUUAAAAAAGUUGGUGGUGAAAUCCCAGAGCUUAACUCUGGAACUGCCAUCAAAACUUUUUAGCUAGAGUAUGAUAGAGGAAAGCAGAAUUUCUAGUGUAGAGGUGAAAUUCGUAGAUAUUAGAAAGAAUACCAAUUGCGAAGGCAGCUUUCUGGAUCAUUACUGACACUGAGGAACGAAAGCAUGGGUAGCGAAGAGGAUUAGAUACCCUCGUAGUCCAUGCCGUAAACGAUGUGUGUUAGAUGUUGGAAAUUUAUUUUCAGUAUCGCAGUGAAAGCGUUAAACACACCGCCUGGGGAGUACGACCGCAAGUAAACUCAAUGGAUGCG